UAGUCCACGCUGUAAACGAUGAGUGCAAGGUGUUGGGGGUCAAACCUCGGUGCCGCCGUUAACACAGUAAGCACUCCGCCUGGGGAGUACGUACGCAAGUAUGAAACUCAAAGGAAUUGACGGGGACCCGCACAAGUAGCGGAGCAUGUGGUUUAAUUCGAUGCAACGCGAAAAACCUUACCAGGGCUUGACAUAAAAGUGACGAGGGGUAGAGAUAUCCCUUUUCUCUUCGGAGACAGUUUUACC
rnacentral:rRNA from 1 species